rnacentral:rRNA from 1 species
UACGUAGGGGGCAAGCGUUGUCCGGAAUCAUUGGGCGUAAAGCGCGUGUAGGCGGCUCGUUAAGUCCGGUGUGAAACCUUGGGGCUCAACCCCAAGCCUGCACUGGAUACUGACGAGCUCGAGUCCGGGAGGGGAGAGCGGAAUUCCUAGUGUAGCGGUGAAAUGCGCAGAUAUUAGGAAGAACACCGGUGGCGAAGGCGGGUCUCUGGGCCGAUACUGACGCUGAGGAGCGAAAGCGUGGGGAGCGAACAGG